UAUUAAUAUUAAUCAGGAGGAGGAGAAGGAUCUGAUGAUGAUGAAUUCAGAAAUUACAAAUAAUCAACUUUUCUCAGACCUGUCUCCGAUCAUCACAAGCACUUCCGUCCUUCCCGAUCAACUCUGCGAGCCACUGGAUUUCACCUUUGAAGACCUCCUCUGAUCGCCUGGUGCGGUGAGGGGAGAGACUUUGAUGAUGUCAAGACCUAUGCUACUUGUGUUUCUUUUAAUUAUUAUGAUAGUAACUUCACAGUUUGAAUGGAAGCAACCACUUGUCAAUGAUAUUGAGGCAACACCUAGUUUGUCUCAGAAACAAUUGCAAAUCACUAAGAGGGAAGAAGCUGUUAAGGAGAAGAUCAUCUUAUCU